AAAAACGCUUCGAUAUUUUUCUUUGUCAACCCCCUCUGUGCACGUUUGGCUUUAGAUCGAGCGGCGGCGCUCCCUAUCCGAUCGGGACAUGUAGGACGACGGCGGCAGGGCUCCGAAAAGUGGGGAACGGCGGGGAGGCGGGGAACGGCGGGGAGGCGGGGAACGGCGAACGCGGCGAGGCGGAUCAGGUCAGGAUCCAGCGCGGCGUCCGGCGCUUCAUGGCCGUGGCGCCUCGGUCUCCUGGGAAGAAGAGACGUGGGAGAGAGAGGAGGUGAGAUGGGGAGAAGAGAAGGCAGAGUAAGGACAGCGCGGAUUCCGGCGAUGGCUCUGGUCGGCGGAUCCAGGCCAACUCUUGAUGGACUUCCGAAGUGCUGCUGGCCUCCGAAUUUUUUCUGUCGUGUAGCCGCUCCCCAUCUCAGUGUGUGCUAUCCGCGGAAGCCGGCUCCUCCACUCAGGCCCUCCUCUGCAACGCCGACGAGGACGCUACUUCGUCUGAACUGAUCUUCACGACCACGUGCAGAUGGAAUUUUUUUCAUAUGACAUCAGGGAUGUAGGAUGAUUGGGUGAACAAGCUUCUUGUGAAACAUCCAUAUCCCGGGGGCGGUGCCUCCGUUCAGCAUCCCACGCGGCGACGUCCUCCGGCAUAAUGGCAAACACUGGCAGGGGAGAAAGCAGAGCGGGAGGGGUAUUGGGUCCAUACCACUGUGGGCAUUGUCAGUGCCAUGAUUGUGGCUAAUACCCACAGGAGAUUCUAUUUCUGUGAGCGGAUUAAACAGAGUUGAGUAAACAUCAUCCAUAGGAGAUACAUGUGCUAAUUAAGUUUAGAGGAGAAAGUGGUUCUUUAUUCUUGUAAUUUUGGUGCAGAUGUCAUACAGGGGCAGAGAACAAUGGUCUUUUGGGAAUGCCUGUUAACUUUUUGGAGCUGCCAGGUAAAUUUUGGUACGAAUUUAUGUUAGUUCUACUUUUCCAUGAUGUUUAAUUGCUCGGUUCUUAAGGGCUUGUAAGAGGAGAUGGAUUUUGGACUACUCUAUUUUGGAUGCCAGUAAAGCGGAUCUGCAGAUGAAAAAUAAAAGGGUGUGCAUGGUGUUUUUUUCUUACAGAAUACUUUUAUAUGCCCUGUUCUAUUUUGCUUCAGGUUUAGGACUAUUUGGUCUGCUACAUAAUCCAUGUUUAUAACUGCAAAAGCUUAUUUUUAUUAUUAUCAUAUUUACUAUUUGUCAGUAGUAAUACAUAACACGUCGCUGGUGAAAAGCCUACUGGAAAGAUUAAUUACUCAAUAAUGUUGUCUUAAGAAUCAAUUUUUUUGAAAAGUUCUAUGUUAACCACUGUUGCCAUCUGUUCCUAUUUGUUGUUUUUUCCUAUGGCAGUUUGGAGCAAGUGAUUGGCCUAUAAUCUAAUUAAUAUUCAGGCUUGCUGAGAAUUUUUUACUAUGAGAUAAGUAGAUGAUCAUUUAACCCACAGCGAAGAUAAAGUAGAUUAUGGUGACCGAACUGAGCACACGCUGACUUAGUGCUUCGACCCUUCAUGUUUAUUAUUCACUAAUUC
rnacentral:rRNA from 1 species